UACGGGGGGGGCAAGCGUUGUUCGGAAUUACUGGGCGUAAAGGGCUCGUAGGUGGCCAACUAAGUCAGACGUGAAAUCCCUCGGCUUAACCGGGGAACUGCGUCUGAUACUGGAUGGCUUGAGUUCGGGAGAGGGAUGCGGAACUCCAGGUGUAGCGGUGAAAUGCGUAGAUAUCUGGAGGAACACCGGUGGCGAAGGCGGCAUCCUGGACCGACACUGACACUGAGGAGCGAAAGCCAGGGGAGCAAACGGG
rnacentral:rRNA from 1 species